rnacentral:lncRNA from 10 species
GGCUGAGGCUCAGUGCGCCUGCGCGGCGCGGAUGGGCGAGGCGUGACCGAGGGGCGAGGCGUGACCGAGGGGCGAGGCGUGACCGAGGGGCGAGGCGUGACCGAGGGGCGAGGCGUGACCGAGGGGCGAGGCGUGACCGAGGGGCUCGCCGCGGCUCCUGCGCCUGCGCGGCGGGGAACGGCGACCGGCUGAGGGGACUAGGGGAGCGCGGUGCUUCGGUGGCGGAGGUCACGGUGGCCUCCAUCCUAAAGGGCUGCGGGCGUCCCGGACGGCGGUCCCAAGCGCUGCUCACGCUGCUCUUAAGUGAGCCCUGGACGAGGCGCGGUGGGCCCUCAUAGUCCGCGCCGGCGCCCUCGCUCCACACCGCGGCGUCCGGCCCUGGGCUCCCGCCGAUGUCCGCGUGGGACUUUUAGGGGAUUUGUUUAUUUUUGUACGUUAACCACACUAGAAACGGCCCCAGAAUGGGCUGAAACGUGUGCUGCUGAAGCUGCCACCUAAACUCCCGAGAGAAGCGCCGUUUCUCCUCCAUGGCUUCUCGCCGACGCCCUCGCUGCGGCCUUCCGGGCCCCUCGGUUGAUAAAAGGACUAAAUAGUGACGGACAUUUUUAAGGCUACUUAAGAAAUGGCAAAAAUACAUUUAGAGGUGUGAACCCGAACACACUGCGCGCUUUAAGCCCCGCGAGAGCCGGGGCCGCCCGCUUCUGUGCGCCCGUAGCUCCUUUCUCGGGUCCGGGAUUCGCCGGUGCCGGGGACAGAAACCUCCUGCCUUCUUAGUUCAUGACCCUUGUAGAUGAACUUCCCUGUUUUCUGCACUGCUUAGACCAGAAGACGGGAAACCGUGACUGCCGCACCCUUCCCUGAAGCAGGCACUGCCCGUCGUCCAUCAAACGCGAGGACUGCGCCCACCUCGUAGGAAGGACGCCGCGGUCCUGCUAAAAGCCUCCGCCUCUGCCUGCCCGAGGGCACCCUUCCCCUCCCCGCUUCCGAGGGCGGACUCCAUUCCUCUGGAGCCGGUGUUUCCGGGUGGGCCAGCCUCCAACUGCCUUUGAAUAACCCCCCCUUACAUUAGAUUCUGACCCUGUGGUGAUUUUAGGUUGGGAUUUGGGCGCCUGCAGAUGGCUCCGAAGCCAGCCUCUUGUGAUCCGAGCCACUUCUCUGGCACUCGGAGCGCUGGCACCCGCGGAGCGGCCUUGGUUCACCGGACCGCCUGGGAACCUGGCCGGGGUCUCUGGCAGCCUCCCAGGGCUGAGGUUCAGACUCUGUUCCGCCUACCCAGGUCCACACCUGAUAGGGCUGGAGUUGAGGCUUGGUUUUAAGGCAAGAGUUUCGUUUGUUAUUUCUCCAAAGAGUCAGCUGUUUGCAGGUGUGUGGUUAACACUAUCCUUCGAGGUUAAGGUUUUGUUCGUCUUGCUAAAGUUUGCAACCUUUUUUGUCCUUCAGAUUUGGAGAAGGGGAAAGCAGUUUCUCUUUGAAAAGAAGCAGCGAAUCGUGGCUUAAGCAAAAUUUGUAAUCCUUAAAACUGGCCAGGCUCUGGAGCUGAGUUCAAUUUGACAUGUCUAAACUUUCUUCUUGAGUAACCAGAUUUUCCCUUACAGUCUUUUGUCACUUAAGAGAACUCAUAGGCAAUCGUCCAUCCAAAACAAGUCUUUCUCCUUCAGGGAGGACCCAUCUUUGGAAACUCCAGCUGGUUUCCUGUGCAGUGCUUAUGGUGCCACCUCUCGUUAUAUUUAGAAAAAUGGUCUCACGUAACUUGAGAAAAAACAUUUCAGUGACCAAAGCCGGGUACCAUUGGAACACCAAGGUAAUUUACUUGUUUGCUCAAUUGGAAAACGCUGGCUCUAGGAUAAAACGGAAUCUUUGGGAGAGUUAUUUUUUAUGGUAGUUGGAAGCAUCCAAAAGAAGUUCUAAUAAAGUGAGCUCCUGGGAAACAAAAAUUUCAAGGACCACAGACUUCAACCAGGAGAUUUUGUCUAUUGGAAAUGACAUUUUUUAAAAAGUCUCUGCAACCUGCUAUGGACCUUAUCAGGUACUCCUGACCAGCCUUCACCAUAAAAUUAGAAGACGACCCUUGAAUUCACAUCUCCCAUCUAAAGAAAUCUGAGCCUCGGCUGGGCGCGGUGGCUCACUCCUAUAAUCCCACCACUUUGGGAAGCCAAGGCAGGUGGAUCACCUGAGAUCAGGAGUUCGAGACCAGCCUGGCCAACACGGUGAAAUCCCAUCUCUACUAAAAAUAUAAAAAUUAGCCAGGCAUGGUGGCGCACCUGUAAUCCCAGCUACUCAGGUGGCUGAGGCAGGAGAAUUGCUUGAACCCGGGAGGCAGAGGUUGCAAUGAGCCGAGAUUGUGCCACUGCCCUCCAGCCUUGGUGACAGAGUGAGAUUCCAUCUCAAAAACAAAGAAAACUGAGCCUCCGAAAUGGGCUCUUGUACCAGAAGGUGAUACCCUGGGACAGCUGGGACAGUGUUCUUUGGGUUAUGCCGGUCACAAGGUCAAAUAUUUCAUACCGUUUCACACUCACCAAUCUUCCUCAUCUACAGUCUUGUCAGAUUCAUCCUGUAUUCCAUUGGUAUCAUCAUUUAGCUUCUGUCUUUCUGCCAUAACUGGGUAUUGAAGGCGUUACUUGACACGUAGAGGCCCUCACCAGUUACACACAAAAGGCCUUAAGAUAUAGCCAGGUAUCUCAUGAUUAAAUGAUAAACUUACCUGAGAAAAUCUGUAUUAUAAAACCAUAUGGCUUUAGACAUACUCACCGCAGCUCGAGGGUAACCUGUGCUAUCGUAAAACUAAAAGCUGUGUCUGUAUCCCAGAUAAACCAAAUAACAUCACUAAAUUCAUGGCUGAUGUGAAAUCCACAUAAACCAACCUUUCAGAGCCAAAACCUCCUCCAAACAACUGGCUAAAUAGCUGGUUGGGAUCUUGGCAAAAUUAGUGACAAAAACUGUUAACUUAUUCUAGAAAUUACAAUCAUUUUUUACGUUUGUCCUGUUUGCUCAGGCUCAGCAUAAAGGGAUAAAGUGGAUGCAAAGGGACCUUAGUGACAGCAAACUGUGUCUCUGACCCACGUCUUCCAGUUCAAAUACUUUACAUCUUCAUUGGGAUCUUCGAUUGUAUCAAAAGAUGUUUAAAAAGCCAUUUGCAGGCCAGGCACAGUGGCUCAUGCUUGUAAUCCCAACAGUGGGAGGCCAAGGCAGGUGUAUCACUUGAGGUCAGGAGACCAGCAUGGCCAACAUGGUGAAACCCUGUCUCUAGUAAAAAUCCAAAAAUUAGCCGGG